CCCUGCCCUUUGUACACACCGCCCGUCGCACCUACCGAUCGAAGGUAAUGAUGAGCCCUUAGGAUUGUCACUCUUGGCACGCAAGUGUUGGGAGAGGCGAGAAUUUGUGCAAAUCCCUACCUUUAGAG
rnacentral:rRNA from 1 species